rnacentral:rRNA from 1 species
UACGAAGGGGGCUAGCGUUGCUCGGAAUCACUGGGCGUAAAGCGCACGUAGGCGGUUUCUUAAGUCAGGGGUGAAAUCCUGGAGCUCAACUCCAGAACUGCCUUUGAUACUGGGAGACUUGGAGUCCGGGAGAGGUGAGUGGAACUGCGAGUGUAGAGGUGAAAUUCGUAGAUAUUCGCAAGAACACCAGUGGCGAAGGCGGCUCACUGGCCCGGUACUGACGCUGAGGUGCGAAAGCGUGGGGAGCAACAGGG